GCUUCCAUAGCUCAGUUGGUUAGAGCGUCGUACUAAUACUUCACACCGAGUAUCCGGUAAUGCGAAGGUCUCAGGUUCAAGCCCUGGUGGGAGCA
rnacentral:tRNA from 3 species